rnacentral:rRNA from 1 species
AACGGGUGAGGAACACGUGAGGAAUCUGCCUUUCACUUCGGGAUAACUCCGGGAAACCGGGGCUAAUACCGGAUAUUUUCAACUGGCGGCAUCGCCGGUUGAAGAAAGUUUUUCGGUGAAAGAUGACCUCGCGGCCUAUCAGCUUGUUGGUGAGGUAAUGGCUCACCAAGGCAACGACGGGUAGCCGGCCUGAGAGGGCGACCGGCCACACUGGGACUGAGACACGGCCCAGACUCCUACGGGAGGCAGCAGUGGGGAAUAUUGGGCAAUGGAGGAAACUCUGACCCAGCGACGCCGCGUGAGGGAUGAAGGCCUUCGGGUUGUAAACCUCUUUCAGCAGGGAAUAAGCGAAAGUGAAGGUACCUGCAGAAGAAGCACCGGCUAACUAUGUGCCAGCAGCCGCGGUAAUACAUAGGGUGCAAGCGUUGUCCGGAAUUAUUGGGCGUGAAGAGCUCGUAGGUGGUCGAUCACGUCGGAUGUGAAAAUCUGAGGCUUAACCUCAGACCUGCAUUCGAUACGGGUUGACUGGAGUGUGGUAGGGGAGACUGGAAUUCCUGGUGUAGCGGUGGAAUGCGCAGAUAUCAGGAGGAACACCGAUGGCGAAGGCAGGUCUCUGGGCCAUUACUGACACUGAGGAGCGAAAGCAUGGGGAGCGAACAGGAUUAGAUACCCUGGUAGUCCACGCCGUAAACGGUGGGCGCUAGUUGUGGGAACCUUCCACGGUUUCUGCGACGCAGCUAACGCAUUAAGCGCCCCGCCUGGGGAGUACGGUCGCAAGACUAAAACUCAAAGAAAUUGACGGGGCCCCGCACAAGCAGCGGAGCAUGCGGCUUAAUUCGACGCAACGCGAAGAACCUUACCAAGGCUUGACAUAUACAGGAAUACGGCAGAGAUGUCGUAGCCGCAAGGUCUGUAUACAGGUGGUGCAUGGUUGUCGUCAGCUCGUGUCGUGAGAUGUUGGGUUAAGUCCCGCAACGAGCGCAACCCUCGUCCUGUGUUACCAGCAUUUAGUUGGGGACUCACAGGAGACUGCCGGGGUCAACUCGGAGGAAGGUGGGGAUGACGUCAAAUCAUCAUGCCCCUUAUGUCUUGGGCUGCACGCAUGCUACAAUGGCUGGUACAAGGGCUGCGAUACCGCAAGGUGGAGCGAAUCCCAGAAAGCCAGUCUCAGUUCGGAUUGGGGUCUACCAC